rnacentral:rRNA from 1 species
GACGAACGCUGGGCGUGCUUAACACAUGCAAGUCGAACGGAAAGGCCCUGCUUUUGUGGGGUGCUCGAGUGGCGAACGGGUGAGUAACACGUGAGUAACCUGCCCUUGACUUUGGGAUAACUUCAGGAAACUGGGGCUAAUACCGGAUAGGAGCUCCUGCUGCAUGGUGGGGGUUGGAAAGUUUCGGCGGUUGGGGAUGGACUCGCGGCUUAUCAGCUUGUUGGUGGGGUAGUGGCUUACCAAGGCUUUGACGGGUAGCCGGCCUGAGAGGGUGACCGGCCACAUUGGGACUGAGAUACGGCCCAGACUCCUACGGGAGGCAGCAGUGGGGAAUAUUGCACAAUGGGCGGAAGCCUGAUGCAGCAACGCCGCGUGCGGGAUGACGGCCUUCGGGUUGUAAACCGCUUUCGCCUGUGACGAAGCGUGAGUGACGGUAAUGGGUAAAGAAGCACCGGCUAACUACGUG